GAUGAACGCUAGCGGGAGGCCUAACACAUGCAAGCCGAGCGGUAUUUCUUCUUCGGAAGAGAGAGAGCGGCGUACGGGUGCGGAACACGUGUGCAACCUGCCUUUAUCUAGAGGAUAGCCUUUCGAAAGGAAGAUUAAUACUCUAUAAUAUAUUAAUUGGCAUCAAUUGAUAUUGAAAACUCCGGUGGAUAGAGAUGGGCACGCGCAAGAUUAGCUAGUUGGUGAGGUAACGGCUCACCAAGGCAAUGAUCUUUAGGGGGCCUGAGAGGGUGAUCCCCCACACUGGUACUGAGACACGGACCAGACUCCUACGGGAGGCAGCAGUGAGGGAUAUUGGUCAAUGGGUGCAAGCCUGAACCAGCCAUCCCGCGUGAAGGAUUAAGGUCCUAUGGAUUGUAAACUUCUUUUGUAUAGGGAUAAACCUACCCUCGUGAGGGUAGCUGAAGGUACUAUACGAAUAAGCACCGGCUAACUCCGUGCCAGCAGCCGCGGUAAGAC
rnacentral:rRNA from 1 species